AGCAAAAUGAUGAAAUUAUCAAUCCGAAUUUUCAUGUGGAUUAUUCUUGAUAAUUAUGGUCUUCAAAGUUCUCUGAUUGCU